UUAAGCGACUAAGCGUACACGGUGGAUGCCCUGGCAGUCAGAGGCGAUGAAGGACGUGCUAAUCUGCGAUAAGCGUCGGUGAGGUGAUAUGAACCGUUAUAACCGGCGAUUUCCGAAUGGGGAAACCCAGUGUGUUUCGACACACUAUCAUUAACUGAAUCCAUAGGUUAAUGAGGCGAACCGGGGGAACUGAAACAUCUAAGUACCCCGAGGAAAAGAAAUCAACCGAGAUUCCCCCAGUAGCGGCGAGCGAACGGGGAGGAGCCCAGAGCCUGAAUCAGUGUGUGUGUUAGUGGAAGCGUCUGGAAAGGCGCGCGAUACAGGGUGACAGCCCCGUACACAAAAAUGCACAUGCUGUGAGCUCGAUGAGUAGGGCGGGACACGUGGUAUCCUGUCUGAAUAUGGGGGGACCAUCCUCCAAGGCUAAAUACUCCUGACUGACCGAUAGUGAACCAGUACCGUGAGGGAAAGGCGAAAAGAACCCCGGCGAGGGGAGUGAAAAAGAACCUGAAACCGUGUACGUACAAGCAGUGGGAGCCUCUUUAUGGGGUGACUGCGUACCUUUUGUAUAAUGGGUCAGCGACUUAUAUUCUGUAGCAAGGUUAACCGAAUAGGGGAGCCGAAGGGAAACCGAGUCUUAACUGGGCGUUAAGUUGCAGGGUAUAGACCCGAAACCCGGUGAUCUAGCCAUGGGCAGGUUGAAGGUUGGGUAACACUAACUGGAGGACCGAACCGACUAAUGUUGAAAAAUUAGCGGAUGACUUGUGGCUGGGGGUGAAAGGCCAAUCAAACCGGGAGAUAGCUGGUUCUCCCCGAAAGCUAUUUAGGUAGCGCCUCGUGAAUUCAUCUCCGGGGGUAGAGCACUGUUUCGGCAAGGGGGUCAUCCCGACUUACCAACCCGAUGCAAACUGCGAAUACCGGAGAAUGUUAUCACGGGAGACACACGGCGGGUGCUAACGUCCGUCGUGAAGAGGGAAACAACCCAGACCGCCAGCUAAGGUCCCAAAGUCAUGGUUAAGUGGGAAACGAUGUGGGAAGGCCCAGACAGCCAGGAUGUUGGCUUAGAAGCAGCCAUCAUUUAAAGAAAGCGUAAUAGCUCACUGGUCGAGUCGGCCUGCGCGGAAGAUGUAACGGGGCUAAACCAUGCACCGAAGCUGCGGCAGCGACGCUUAUGCGUUGUUGGGUAGGGGAGCGUUCUGUAAGCCUGUGAAGGUGUGCUGUGAGGCAUGCUGGAGGUAUCAGAAGUGCGAAUGCUGACAUAAGUAACGAUAAAGCGGGUGAAAAGCCCGCUCGCCGGAAGACCAAGGGUUCCUGUCCAACGUUAAUCGGGGCAGGGUGAGUCGACCCCUAAGGCGAGGCCGAAAGGCGUAGUCGAUGGGAAACAGGUUAAUAUUCCUGUACUUGGUGUUACUGCGAAGGGGGGACGGAGAAGGCUAUGUUGGCCGGGCGACGGUUGUCCCGGUUUAAGCGUGUAGGCUGGUUUUCCAGGCAAAUCCGGAAAACCAAGGCUGAGGCGUGAUGACGAGGCACUACGGUGCUGAAGCGACAAAUGCCCUGCUUCCAGGAAAAGCCUCUAAGCAUCAGGUAACAUCAAAUCGUACCCCAAACCGACACAGGUGGUCAGGUAGAGAAUACCAAGGCGCUUGAGAGAACUCGGGUGAAGGAACUAGGCAAAAUGGUGCCGUAACUUCGGGAGAAGGCACGCUGAUAUGUAGGUGAAGCGACUUGCUCGUGGAGCUGAAAUCAGUCGAAGAUACCAGCUGGCUGCAACUGUUUAUUAAAAACACAGCACUGUGCAAACACGAAAGUGGACGUAUACGGUGUGACGCCUGCCCGGUGCCGGAAGGUUAAUUGAUGGGGUUAGCGGCAACGCGAAGCUCUUGAUCGAAGCCCCGGUAAACGGCGGCCGUAACUAUAACGGUCCUAAGGUAGCGAAAUUCCUUGUCGGGUAAGUUCCGACCUGCACGAAUGGCGUAAUGAUGGCCAGGCUGUCUCCACCCGAGACUCAGUGAAAUUGAACUCGCUGUGAAGAUGCAGUGUACCCGCGGCAAGACGGAAAGACCCCGUGAACCUUUACUAUAGCUUGACACUGAACAUUGAGCCUUGAUGUGUAGGAUAGGUGGGAGGCUUUGAAGUGUGGACGCCAGUCUGCAUGGAGCCGACCUUGAAAUACCACCCUUUAAUGUUUGAUGUUCUAACGUUGGCCCGUAAUCCGGGUUGCGGACAGUGUCUGGUGGGUAGUUUGACUGGGGCGGUCUCCUCCUAAAGAGUAACGGAGGAGCACGAAGGUUGGCUAAUCCUGGUCGGACAUCAGGAGGUUAGUGCAAUGGCAUAAGCCAGCUUGACUGCGAGCGUGACGGCGCGAGCAGGUGCGAAAGCAGGUCAUAGUGAUCCGGUGGUUCUGAAUGGAAGGGCCAUCGCUCAACGGAUAAAAGGUACUCCGGGGAUAACAGGCUGAUACCGCCCAAGAGUUCAUAUCGACGGCGGUGUUUGGCACCUCGAUGUCGGCUCAUCACAUCCUGGGGCUGAAGUAGGUCCCAAGGGUAUGGCUGUUCGCCAUUUAAAGUGGUACGCGAGCUGGGUUUAGAACGUCGUGAGACAGUUCGGUCCCUAUCUGCCGUGGGCGCUGGAGAACUGAGGGGGGCUGCUCCUAGUACGAGAGGACCGGAGUGGACGCAUCACUGGUGUUCGGGUUGUCAUGCCAAUGGCACUGCCCGGUAGCUAAAUGCGGAAGAGAUAAGUGCUGAAAGCAUCUAAGCACGAAACUUGCCCCGAGAUGAGUUCUCCCUGACUCCUUGAGAGUCCUGAAGGAACGUUGAAGACGACGACGUUGAUAGGCCGGGUGUGUAAGCGCAGCGAUGCGUUGAGCUAACCGGUACUAAUGAACCGUGAGGCUUAACCUU
rnacentral:rRNA from 3 species